UACGGAGGGUGCGAGCGUUGUCCGGAAUCACUGGGCGUAAAGGGCGCGUAGGUGGCGCGGGCAGUCAACGGUGAAAGCUCGGGGCUCAACCCCGAGUCGGCCGUCGAUACUCCCGCGCUCGAGCACUGUAGAGGCAGGUGGAAUUUCGGGUGUAGCGGUGGAAUGCGUAGAGAUCCGAAAGAACACCGGUGGCGAAGGCGGCCUGCUGGGCAGUUGCUGACACUGAGGCGCGACAGCGUGGGGAGCAAACAGG
rnacentral:rRNA from 1 species